rnacentral:rRNA from 1 species
AGAGUUUGAUCCUGGCUCAGGGUUAACGCUGGCGGCGUGCCUUACACAUGCAAGUCGAACGGGGCUAUCAGCGAUGGUAGCUUAGUGGCGAACGGGUGAGGAAGACGCAGGGACCUACCGACCAGAGGGGGAUACCCGCUGGAAACGGCGGAUAAAACCGCAUACGCCCGGGUGAAAGCCCGGGGAAAAGCACUACGGUGUUACUGGACGAGGGACCUGCGGCCCAUCAGGUAGUUGGGGAGGUAACGGCUCACCAAGCCGACGACGGGUAUCUGGCGUGAGAGCGCGAACAGGCACAAGGACACUGAGAGACGGGUCCUACUCCUACGGGAGGCAGCAGUGGGGAAUAUUGGACAAUGGGCGAAAGCCUGAUCCAGCGACGCCGCGUGUCGGAAGGAGUCCUUCGGGAUGUAAACGACUUUUGGUGGAGACGAAUAAGCAGCUCAGGGAAUGGGGCUGUGAUGACGGUAUCCAUGGAAUAAGCCCCGGCUAACUACGUGCCAGCAGCCGCGGUAAGACGUAGGGGGCAAGCGUUACCCGGAAUUACUGGGCGUAAAGGGAGCGUAGGCGGGAGGUCAGGUCCGGUGUGAAAGACCCUGGCUCAACCAGGGAUGAGGGCUGGAAACUGACAAUCUUGAGUACAGCAGAGGAAGAGGGAAUUACCGGUGUAGGGGUGAAAUCCGUAGAGACCGGUAAGAAGGCCAGUGGCGAAAGCGCUUUUCUGGGCUGUUACUGACGCUGAGGCUCGAAAGCCAGGGGAGCAAACCGGAUUAGAUACCCGGGUAGUCCUGGCCGUAAACGAUGCUCACUAGUGUGGGGCGCAUAGCGUGCUCUGCGCUGAAGCAACGCAAUAAGUGAGCCGCCUGGGGAGUACGUCCGCAAGGAUGAAACUCAAAUGAAUUGACGG